rnacentral:rRNA from 1 species
ACUCCUACGGGAGGCAGCAGUGGGGAAUAUUGCACAAUGGGGGAAACCCGUAGCAUGCAGCCAUGCCGCGUGUGUGAAGAAGGCCUUCGGGUUGUAAAGCACUUUCAGCGAGGAGGAAAGGGUGUAAGUUAAUACCUUACAUCUGUGACGUUACUCGCAGAAGAAGCACCGGCUAACUCCGUGCCAGCAGCCGCGGUAAUACGGAGGGUGCGAGCGUUAAUCGGAAUUACUGGGCGUAAAGCGUGCGCAGGCGGUUUGUUAAGCGAGAUGUGAAAGCCCGCU